rnacentral:rRNA from 1 species
CAAUGGACGCAAGUCUGAACCAGCCAUGCCGCGUGGAGGAUGAAGGCCCUCUGGGUUGUAAACUUCUUUUAUGGGGGACGAAACCCCGGAUUUUUAUCCGGCCUGACGGUACCCCAGGAAUAAGCACCGGCUAACUCCGUGCCAGCAGCCGCGGUAAUACGGAGGGUGCAAGCGUUAUCCGGAUUCACUGGGUUUAAAGGGUGCGUAGGCGGGUUUGUAAGUCAGUGGUGAAAUCCCGAAGCUUAACUUCGGAACUGCCGUUGAUACUACAGGUCUUGAAUACUCGGGAGGUGAGCGGAAUAUGUCAUGUAGCGGUGAAAUGCUUAGAUAUGACAUAGAACACCGAUUGCGAAGGCAGCUCACUACAGAGUCAUUGACGCUGAGGCACGAAAGCGUGGGGAUCAAACAGGAUUAGAUACCCUGGUAGUCCACGCCCUAAACUAUGGAUACUCGACGUGUGCGAUAUGACAGCAUGCGUCUGAGCGAAAGCAUUAAGUAUCCCACCUGG